rnacentral:rRNA from 1 species
UACGUAGGGUGCGAGCGUUGUCCGGAAUUAUUGGGCGUAAAAGAGCUCGUAGGCGGUUUUGUCGCGUCUGCUGUGAAAACCUAAGGCUCAACCUUGGGCUUGCAGUGGGUACGGGCAGACUAGAGUGCGGUAGGGGUGACUGGAAUUCCUGGUGUAGCGGUGGAAUGCGUAGAGAUCCGGAAGAACACCGGUGGCGAAGGCGGUCUGCUGGGCAGU